rnacentral:lncRNA from 10 species
CUGAUAUUCUGUAGAACUUCUGAAGCUGUGGCCUGAGUGGAUGGGGUUCAGAAAAUGCUACCCCAAAGUACUUUGAACUGAAGGUGAUUGGGAGGGCCUAAGAAGCAAGAAGGUCACUCUGAGUUCCUCCUGCCUUUCAAUGUGAGACCUGGCCAAAAGGGAAUUCUCUGUCCUACCUCAACUGAAAGUAGCUUGUAAGAACUUCAUCUCAAAGGGGUACUGCAUUAUACUCUGAGGCCAAGAAAAGUCAACGCAGAGGCCUUCCUGGGUCCCUCUCCCCCAAUUUGUUACCAUACCCUUUUGUCCCAUCAUACUUCUACAUGAUUUUACUGAAUCUAAGCACAAAAAUACUCAGUUGUCCCCUGGGUGUUUGGUCCUCAUUUCUAAUGGUUUUCGUUCCCCAUAAAACUUUGGUUAAUGCAUUUGUUACACUUUUUUCUUGUUACUCUGUCUUUUGUUAUAUGGGUUCCAGCCACAGACCUUGGGAUGCGUAAGGAAAAAAACAUUAUUUUUUCUCUCAUAUGUAAUUCCAAUGGCUAGCCAAAUACCUGAGAUUUCUUUUGUGGCCCA